rnacentral:lncRNA from 1 species
UGUAUGUCCAGUUCAGGGAGGAAGAACAGGCAGUCGCUGCGCAUAAUGCCCUUCAAGGUCGCUUCUACUCAGGGCGCCCAAUAAUUGUUGAGUAUUCCCCUGUGACUGAUUUCCGUGAGGCGACCUGUAGGCAGUUUGAGGAGAACAGCUGCAACCGUGGGGGCUACUGUAAUUUUAUGCAUGUAAAGCAGAUUGGCAGGGAGCUCAGGAGGAAGCUUUAUGGG